AAUAGGUGUAGUUUUGCACUAUUUAUCUUUAACAUUUCAUCGUUUGUUUUAUUUGAAUAAGUUUUAUGAUUACUAUUUUAUUAUUAUUAGAUGAUAAAAUAUGAAUAGUACUUUAUGUGUGACUAAUUUUUUUUAAAUUUUUAAUAAAUUUUUUAAAUAAGACGGACGGUCAAAUAUUGGACACGGAUUUUCACGUCUGCAUUUAUU
rfam:Oryza glumipatula chromosome 3, whole genome shotgun sequence.